ACUUCAACGCUCUGCAAAGGCGUGGCUCAGCGUUCAUUUCAGCCAAGUAUCAUCUUUCAGGUGCUUGCUUAAAAACAUGUCCAAAUCAUCGUUUCCCACGCUUUGCAUGGCUGGCUGUCAUAGUCUGGAGGCGGCUUGAGUCGCCCACCUCACUGCAUUCGGGCUGUGGAAAUAUCUCUUCUCAAAGACAAAGAACGUGUCUACUCACUGGAUGGAAUGAGCAUGUGCUGAAGGGGGCUCUGCACCUCCAUCUUGAAUAUGGAGUUUUUUGGGCUCGCCUUCAGGAGUCGCCGUCCGGAAAACUGGUCCCAGGUGCCCCUGAGCAAAGGAGGCGCUGCCGCCGCGUGAGUCUGUCUGCUGACCCGUGCCCUCCCCGAUGUGCCAACUCCAGCCCGGCCUUCGCGCGGGUCGUGUUCCGGAAGUGGACCCGUUCCCUCCGUGGGGUUCAGCAGAGGGAAGCUUGUGGACGUUCAUAGGAAAGACAGUGCGUUUUCUGUCUCCGGCAGCCCUCCUCCAUCGUUCUGUGGGUAAACGACCAGAGUAAGGACUUCGUGCAGGGCCAUGGCGUUCCGGGGAGGAUGUCCACCCUCCUGACCAAGUCGACUCCUGCGCAGUGUUCUUGCCUCCGGGGAAGCGGCCGGUCCUUCCCUCCACGCACGGCUCCUCUGGUGACAUUUCCUCCACUUCUCACUGUUUUUCUAACUACACGGUCCGGCUCAGCCUGCCAGGCUGGACACAGAAUUAUGCAACACCCCGGGUUUAUAAACAUCAACCCCUCCCCUCCUGGCCCUGUUAACAAGGAUCUUUUAUGAAAUCUGCGCCUGUCAAUCUUAUUGUCCUGUUAGAUUAUAAAAUCUUUGCGGGUAGAGAAGGUCUCAUGCCAAGUUUAUGAACGAAAUGGCACAGAAGCCAGUGAGAGUGCCCCAGCCACACACCAGGGCGCCAGGAGGCUGGUUUGCUCUGGGAAGGAGCGUGGAGCCGCUGUCCGAGCCCCAAACAUGACCUGCCAGAAGCAACUCACUUCCUUCGUCACCAGGAAGCCACUCCUCAGUCUCCUGCGCGUCCGUGACCGCGCAGUAAACACAGCAGCACCCACAAAACGCUUCAACUCCACGGCCAGUCAGGGGCCUGCAGUGUUUCUAAGGGCUGAUGUCUAAGCUCAUUGCUUUCAGUCACACUGAGCAAUAAAAUUACUUUUUUUUUUU